CGCAAUCAUAAUUUUCAACGUUGGACAUUUUUACCGAACUGUGUAGAUCCUGAAAACAGCCGACGCCUUUAGACUUGAACAAAGCAGGUGAGAUGGCGGUGAGGCGAAGGAUGUUUAACUCGACCAGACCGUUCUCAGGGUCACCCCAAAUAGAGCUGAAGGGGUCUUACGCAAGCCUCCCCAGCCCAGAACACAGGACGAGUGACGAGGAGGGGAAGGAGAGCAAAGGGGACUUCAUGCCUUGUUUAAAACCCAGAAUAAUUAAAGUCCUAACGAAGGGCACAGCAGAACAAGUGGGUGAAGCAGGUCCACUGAACUAUCAGAAGAACUCGUUCAUAGCCCAGGCUGAAUGUGAAACCCAAGACUCUCAGCAGUUCAGCCCUUCCUGCUCCGAACGCUCCUUUGUCGCGUCCCCCAACUGCUUAAUCAACCGGGACUCAUCAGAGCACAACAAUGUGGCGUGUUCCACCGCAGCCUCCAACCAUGAGAAACCAGGCUCCCCGGCCCACUGCUCACCCAGGAAGAAGCCAAGGAAGAAACAGAAGAGGAAGGAGGAGAAAGAGGAGCAGAGGGAGACAGGGAAGCAGAGACAGAGACGUAGAGUACCUUCUGGUGUCCCUGAGCAGGAGACCCAGACUGGCAGUUCUCCUCAACUGAUCCAGACCCAGCAGGACGCUUCAGAGCACCAAAGUAACAUCAGCACUUCAUACAGUAGCAGUAUCCCGAGUUUAGAGGCGCAUGACACAAGACGCCCCCCUUACCCCCUCCAGGACUGCAACAGGGGCCCCAGCCAUUCCCACCUCUACUGGGGCCCCCAGGUGUUUAGCCCCCCCUCCAACCUCUCCACCUAUGGGCAGGAGAGUGACUCAGACUCUCCUCUCAGCAGUGUGGGAGACUGUUCAUUGGCCCUAGCAGGGCUCAGGGGCAGUGUCAGUCAGGAAGACCGAUGCUAUGCAGGUCCAUUCUGCAAAGACUUCUGCAAAGACGUGGAAAGGGAUGUCAGGGAGAAGGAGGGAGAAGUCUCAGAGACUGACACCAACGAGGGCCUGAUCUUCAAUGAGAAUAUUCAGCCUGUGAAUUAUGAGUACAGGGAGGGGAAGGACUACAGCCUCUGCAAGUCUAUCAACACAGGGUCAUACGGGGAAGUGCACAGUGUGCAAGACAACAGAACACACUUCAGAUUUGGCGCCAAAAAGAUUCUCCUGAAGAGUUUUAGUAGUGAGGAAGUGGGUACGUGGAGUGCCCUGAAGUCUCCUCGCGUGGUGGAACUCUUCGGAGUGAUCAGAGAGGGGCCCUACGUUGUCCUCUUCAUGGACCUCAAAGCUGGCUCUGUGGGUCAGCUUAUUAAAGAGAGGGGUCGGCUACCUGAGGACCUGGCCCUACACUACCACUGUCAGGUCCUGGAGGCGCUGGAGCACCUGCUGAAGAGACGAGUGCUGCAUCUGGACAUAAAGGCGGACAAUGUGUUGCUGUCAGAGGAUGGGAGGGACACUUUUCUGUGUGACUUUGGACACUCGGAGAGAACGGACAUCGGUGGACAGAGCCUAAGUGCAUGCCAAGGAGCAGAUCUGAAGGGGACAGAGACACACAUGGCCCCGGAGAUUGUGAAAGGGGAAACCCGCGGAGCCAAAGCAGARGUGUGGAGCAGCUGCUGCAUGUUACUGCACAUGCUCAAUGGCUGCCAGCCCUGGACACGAUACUACUCCCGCCCACUGUACUUCAAGAUAGCCAAUGAACCACCGCCUCUGAGGGAGAUCCCGCCCGAUUGCAGUCAAUUCACUGCUGAUGUCAUAAAGGUGGGACUACAGAAGGAGCCAACCAAGAGGGCCUCRGCCUCGGAGCUCAAGGGAAGAGCAGCCAGAGCUCUGAGAGAAGUGGGAGGACUCAGCAGCCCCAUCAGAGGGUCCUAUAAGGAGCACCUACAGAUAGAUGACAGCCCCGGCCAGUCUAGCCAGCCCUGGCCUCCCUUCAGCAGAGACAUCUGCUCUGAGGAGAACCAUAAGCUAUUGCUGGAAUCCAUGAACCCAGGGAGCAGGGAGCUGAACAAUGAUGAGGAGGAGGAAGGCAGUGAGGCAGACACAGAGGAGACAACCUCACCUCCAGACUCACCUCGCUCUCUACUGUCACAACUCCAUGAAUGGCAAAAUCCCAAGAUGGCCGACGUCACCUCCAACGUAUCGGAGCUUGAACUGCGCAAACUGGAGAGAGAGUUCUACCUGACCAGUCUGUCUCAGCUGCACUCAGCAGAAACCCAGGAGCAGCUWCUGUCCUGCCUGAGCAGCAGUGACUGUUACUCCAACAGGGACUUAUGGGACAGAAAGGACUCUGGCCGUUGGUCCAUCAGCCKAGGUGAUGACCUCAGCUCUGGCGUGUUCUCCUACAACAGCCAACCUGACGGACAGAUUCUCAGUAUGGACUGGCUGGUUCACCAAAGCCACCUGUCUCCACCCCGAUGCUUUGAGGGAGUUGACGUCUGCAUCACGGACGUAAAUGGGCAAAGCAUCCGGGUCCGAGAGAAACGCAGGGUGAAGGUGGGCCACAUCGCCACGGGGAUCAGCGACCAGAUCUCUGAGAGGGUGUUCACCAUGGAGACUCAGGAGCGGGAGCCAGUGGCCCAUGAUGAGGAGGUGCAGGACUCUGGCCUCCUGCUCCACUGUGUCCCUGCUCCUGACUACAGCCAGGCCUGGAGAUGGAGGGUCAAGGAGGGGGUGCUGGAGACUCGUGGCUGAGCCAUCAACUCCCCCCAUUCAUCAGUAGCAGUCUCAUCAAGCAUCAGGACUGUAGACUCACUCCUGCUCUCCUGCCCCUCACAUCCUGCGGAUGACCAGCACAGUGGUAAGAACUCCAACGAGGAACACCCCCACGGUCUGCCAGGUGGGAGUGCCAAAGUAGGAACGGAUUCCCUCCUAAGAAUUAGGAAGAGACCAUUGUCUUCAACCAUCACAACUACAAUUUCAAAAAUACAUUUAUUAAAAAAACAUGUAUGAAACCUGUAAGUCAAUUUGGGGAAAGCGCAUCUACUGAUUCCUUACCCAGCCACCCUGCUCCCUAAUCCAGUUGAUCACAUGAUCUCGCAGGUAGUCUGUGGCCCAGCUGAUAAUGGUUCUGAUGAUGUCGGGGACCUUGGUCAACAGAGCCUGAGGAGAGAAAGACGAUGCUGUCUUAUUAGACAAUGAAGAAGCCAACUCAUCCCAAAACGUAUAAAAUGCAGUUCCAUUCCAAGCGUUGCGGUUUUCAAAACAGUGAAUCUAUUCCGACUGAGAUGAGCCCCGUUUCCUUUGUCUAACGGAGGACAAGAGAGUACGAGAUUGAUUGAGAGAGAAAGGAGAGCUAAAUAAAACACAACCACUGACAACCCUCACCUUGAUGACCAGCCGACAGGCAAAGUAGAAGAGUGCCACCACCCUGCCCCAGUUGAACUUUCCAUCAGAGAAGAUCUCACAGGCCACACUCAUAAAAACCUCCUGGCUGGGCUGGAGUGCAGUAUCAUUUAUCAUACUGAAGGGGAAAACACGAGAUACUCUGAGUAUUGCACAAACUCCAGAGGUCAAUUCAAAGUGAAUAUCAAUUCAAGCAAAGAGCUGUAGUCCCUUUCUAAGUCCUUUGUUUAAGAUACCUUUGGAGUUGUGUAUUGCCAUCCAGCUCAUCUCCAAUCUGCUGCAGGCACUGGGCCAGUUUCUUUUCGUUGUGGUCACACAGCGCACUCCCGCCCAACUGGGUCCGUGACACMGACAACUGAGUACUGCUGUCAGCAUGGCGACGAACCCGCUCGUAGAUGAAACUGCAAAGAGAGGGUCACGGGUAAACAACUAGCUAGUAUAUGUGAUCCUUGUCUGAUUAAUCAGGGUGUAACAAACAAUUAAUUGGUAUACACAGCCUGAAACAUCGGAGUGCAAAAUCUUAUAAAAUGUUCAGCCAGAAUGUUGAAUAAAAAUGUAAUUUGAACUUACUCUACUGGUUGUCUGUGCAGUUUGUCCUUCAGACGCUCGAAAUUUGAGACAAAAUGUCCACAGGAAAGUAUUGUUUACCAGGCUUUUUAGAGAACUGGUAGGUCAGAUGAAUGCGAGCAACGUCUGAUCUGUGGUUUGCUGACGCUUGGCUAUUGUUUACAUAUUGUGCAUGUGUUUACGUCGCAUUCGUCAGAAGAUUGAAAAUACACACCAAAAAUACAAGCCAACAGAACCAUAUACCUACCGGCUCAGUACAAAGUCGGGUAAACAUUACUUCCCUGUGGAUAUUUUGUCUCAAAUUUCGAGUGGCUGAAGGACAAACCGCACAGACAACCUGUAGUGUAAGUUCAAAUGUAAUGUUAUUCAACAUUCUGGCUUGUAAGGAACAUUUAUGAUUUGGACUCCAAUGUUUCAGGCUAUAUGUACCAAUUAAAUUAUGUAUUACAGCCUGAUUAAAUCAGACAAAUGUGAAUAAAGAAUAAAGAUCAAAUUCAGGAGUAAACAAGAAGGUAUACUCACUCUGUCAGUAAUCUUUUUCCCAGUUCUAGUACCUGAUCAGUUCCAUUACCUGAGAACACAAAGAGUGAGAGUACUACCAGAACAUAAACCAACGGCAGGUAGAGGCAAUUUAA